GGUUGCUCUUCCUCCAAGGCCACUGCAGAGUGCGGAUCAAGGUGUUUCGGAAAUCUUCCGAGAACAGGCAGUAAAUGUAGAAUGUGAUCGAAUAAUUCGUUACCUCCAACAGAUUGGCCAGGGCGCGAAACACCUGUAAGACGGGAUCGAGAUAAAAGGCUAACGCAGACGAGGAACAAGAUACUGGUACUCCCUAAAAGAAGCACGAGCCUUUUUUCUUCCGCGAACGUUCUCGAAUCUUCAUCGUUGCUCGUCGUCCUGGACAGUGUCAUCCGUCGACGACGUUCGCAGGAUCGUCGAUAGACCACCAUUAUUCGAAGAUUGAAACCAGCCAAAAGUUCACCAAGCGCUGGGAGGCAAGUCGCUACUUCUUCCCGGAACACAUUUGGCAGAUAAACUAGGAACGUGGCGAGGGGAAUAAGCGCCACGGUUAAAUGCGGAGGGCCACAGAGUGGACGAGUGUGCUGUCCAGGCCGACAAACGCUAACGUAACGUUCCACUGUCAAAGCUAGCAGCAUCAUAACUCCAACUCCUGGAAAAAGUAUUCUUUCUGUAUAUAUAUUCUUGUAUAAUAUAAUUCUUCCAUUAGAAGUUUACUGAUAUUUAAUAAUUUUUUCUCUUUUUUGAUGUAGUAGAAGCUCUGUGUAUUUCUAAUCUUACAUUCAAUACUCGUGAUUUAUAUGCACUUGAAAAAUUUAUUUUAAAAUAUGCAUAUAUAUAUAUACACUUAUAUAAUAAUUAAAAUAAUUAAGUUACAAGUGCAACUUUGUUUAAUAAAAUAUCAUUAUACAGGUUAAAUCAGAUCAAACUAUCAUAUUCUACUAUAAGGAUGAAAAAGUAUCAUAAGUACUUUUCCUUGUAAAGUCGAAUUUGAUUCAUUGUCAUUAGAAAGAGGUAUAUUUCUUUGAAUUUAGUUGUACAUAAGUAAAAAGUAUUUUAUCUUUUUAUUAUCAAGAAACAUUGAGAGUCAUAGGAUGUGCUAUCCAGAAGCACAUAUGUAAACAUGUACAUAGUAAGAUUUAGUAUUAUCAGAUAACUGCAAAA